GCAAGCGGUAAGGCCCUUCGGGGUACACGAGCGGCGAACGGGUGAGUAACACGUGGGUGAUCUGCCUCGCACUUCGGGAUAAGCCUGGGAAACUGGGUCUAAUACCGGAUAUGACCUUUCAGUGCAUGCUGUUGGGUGGAAAGAUUUAUCGGUGCGAGAUGGGCCGGCGGCCUAUCAGCUUGUUGGCGGGGUAACGGCCCACCAAGGCGACGACGGGUAGCCGACCUGAGAGGGUGACCGGCCUCACUGGGACUGAGACACGGCCCAGCAUCCUACGGGAGGCAGCAGUGGGGAAUAUUGCACAAUGGGCGGAAGCCUGAUGCAGCGACGCCGCGUGAGCAUGACGGCCUUCGGGUUGUAAACCUG
rnacentral:rRNA from 1 species